rnacentral:rRNA from 1 species
UACGUAGGUGACAAGCGUUGUCCGGAUUUACUGGGCGUAAAGCGCACGUAGGCGGCUUUGUAAGUUAGAGGUGAAAGCCCGGAGCUCAACUCCGGAAUUGCCUUUAAGACUGCAUCGCUAGAAUUGUGGAGAGGUAAGUGGAAUUCCGAGUGUAGAGGUGAAAUUCGUAGAUAUUCGGAAGAACACCAGUGGCGAAGGCGACUUACUGGACACAUAUUGACGCUGAGGUGCGAAAGCGUGGGGAGCAAACAGG